AGAGGGAUAGCUGGGUCAAAUGGUGGUCCCAUUCCAAGAUUUCCAAGGAAUCUCCAUACUGCUUUCUAUAUUGGCUGUACCAAUUUACAGUCCCACCAGCAAU
rnacentral:pre_miRNA from 1 species